AAUCUUCCGCAAUGGACGAAAGUCUGACGGAGCAAUGCCGCGUGAGUGAUGAAGGCCUUAGGGUCGUAAAACUCUGUUGUUAGGGAAGGAUAGGUAUCGGAGUAAUAUGCCGGUACUUUGACGGUACCUUACCAGAAAGCCCCGGCUAACUACGUGCCAGCAGCCGCGGUAAUACGUAGGGGGCGAGCGUUGUCCGGAAUUAUUGGGCGUAAAGGGGGCGCAGGCGGUUUCUUAAGUCUGAUGUGAAAUCUCGUGGGUUAACCACGAGCGGUCGUUGGAAACUGGGAAACUUGAGUACAGAAGAGGAGAGUGGAAUUCCACGUGUAGCGGUGAAAUGCGUAGAAAUCAGGAGGAAUACCGGUGGCGAAGGCGGCUUUCUGGACUGACCCUGACGCUGAGGUGCGAAAGCGUGGGUAGCAAACA
rnacentral:rRNA from 1 species